UUCGCAAUGCCCGAAAGGGUGACGAAGCGACGCCGCGUGGGUGAGGAAGGCCUUCGGGUUGUAAAGCCCUGUCAGGAGUUAAGAAAUGUAGACUCGCUAAUAUCGGGUCUAUUUGACAAAGGCUCCAAAGGAAGCCACGGCUAACUCUGUGCCAGCAGCCGCGGUAAUACAGAGGUGGCAAGCGUUGUUCGGAAUUAUUGGGCGUAAAGAGCACGUAGGUGGAUUUGUAAGUCAGACGUGAAAGCCUUCUGUUCAACGGAAGAAUUGCAUCUGAAACUACAAACCUUGAGUGUAGGAGGGGAGAAUGGAACUUCUGGUGGAGCGGUGAAAUGCGUAGAUAUCAGAAGGAACGCCGGCGGCGAAAGCGAUUCUCUGGCCUAUUACUGACACUCAGUGUGCGAAAGCUAGGGGAGCAAACGGGAUUAGAUACCCCGGUAGUCCUAGCCGUAAACGAUGGGCACUAAGUAGUGGGGUUUU
rnacentral:rRNA from 1 species